GAAUUAGCCUGGGCUACAGGAUACGGCUAGGAUGAGCGAAAAUCGGGCGCUCCCGUAUCACAGGGACAUGCCAAAAGCUUUGAUCGGUUGGUGCUUAGAUGAGAUAUAGCCAUGUGAAGCACUCAGCGCACUUGACUCCCAGCUCCGCACUCAUCUGAUUACAGGUUAAUAUCGUCUUUGGAGAUCAAAUAGAAUGUGACAGUGCUCCUAAACAUUCUACAUAGUAUACAGUCUUCCACAGAAUGAAUGUUUCCAAGGCAUAGAAAAAGAAAGGCACCACCAGGGAGUUCCUUCUUUUUUAUAUGGAUAUCAUUUAGGCAGUUGGUGCUUCAAUUCCCAAUUAGAGCUUUUAAUAUAUUAAAUACUU